rnacentral:rRNA from 1 species
GAUGAACGCUGGCGGCGUGCCUAAUACAUGCAAGUCGAGCGAACGGACGAGAAGCUUGCUUCUCUGAUGUUAGCGGCGGACGGGUGAGUAACACGUGGAUAACCUACCUAUAAGACUGGGAUAACUUCGGGAAACCGGAGCUAAUACCGGAUAAUAUUUUGAACCGCAUGGUUCAAAAGUGAAAGACGGUCUUGCUGCCACUUAUAGAUGGAUCCGCGCUGCAUUAGCUAGUUGGUAAGGUAACGGCUUACCAAGGCAACGAUGCAUAGCCGACCUGAGAGGGUGAUCGGCCACACUGGAACUGAGACACGGUCCAGACUCCUACGGGAGGCAGCAGUAGGGAAUCUUCCGCAAUGGGCGAAAGCCUGACGGAGCAACGCCGCGUGAGUGAUGAAGGUCUUCGGAUCGUAAAACUCUGUUAUUAGGGAAGAACAUAUGUGUAAGUAACUGUGCACAUCUUGACGGUACCUAAUCAGAAAGCCACGGCUAACUACGUGCCAGCAGCCGCGGUAAUACGUAGGUGGCAAGCGUUAUCCGGAAUUAUUGGGCGUAAAGCGCGCGUAGGCGGUUUUUUAAGUCUGAUGUGAAAGCCCACGGCUCAACCGUGGAGGGUCAUUGGAAACUGGAAAACUUGAGUGCAGAAGAGGAAAGUGGAAUUCCAUGUGUAGCGGUGAAAUGCGCAGAGAUAUGGAGGAACACCAGUGGCGAAGGCGACUUUCUGGUCUGUAACUGACGCUGAUGUGCGAAAGCGUGGGGAUCAAACAGGAUUAGAUACCCUGGUAGUCCACGCCGUAAACGAUGAGUGCUAAGUGUUAGGGGGUUUCCGCCCCUUAGUGCUGCAGCUAACGCAUUAAGCACUCCGCCUGGGGAGUACGACCGCAAGGUUGAAACUCAAAGGAAUUGACGGGGACCCGCACAAGCGGUGGAGCAUGUGGUUUAAUUCGAAGCAACGCGAAGAACCUUACCAAAUCUUGACAUCCUUUGACAACUCUAGAGAUAGAGCCUUCCCCUUCGGGGGACAAAGUGACAGGUGGUGCAUGGUUGUCGUCAGCUCGUGUCGUGAGAUGUUGGGUUAAGUCCCGCAACGAGCGCAACCCUUAAGCUUAGUUGCCAUCAUUAAGUUGGGCACUCUAAGUUGACUGCCGGUGACAAACCGGAGGAAGGUGGGGAUGACGUCAAAUCAUCAUGCCCCUUAUGAUUUGGGCUACACACGUGCUACAAUGGACAAUACAAAGGGCAGCGAAACCGCGAGGUCAAGCAAAUCCCAUAAAGUUGUUCUCAGUUCGGAUUGUAGUCUGCAGCUCGACUACAUGAAGCUGGAAUCGCUAGUAAUCGUAGAUCAGCAUGCUACGGUGAAUACGUUCCCGGGUCU